GCCAGGUAUGGUGGCACAUGCCUGUAAUCCCAGCAGCUUGGGAGGCAGAGGCAGGAGGAUAGUGAUUUCAAAGCCAACCUCAGCAAUAGUGAAGUGCUAAGCAACUCUGUGAGACCCUGUCUUUA
rnacentral:sRNA from 1 species